CUGUCUGCUGCUGGUGUGUGAAAAGCAGGCUCCCGCACUGCCUGGGAUGCUACCUCCCAGUUUCCUUCGUGUAGAAUUUAACUGUGGUCUAGAAAUGGAGAGAGGAGGAGAAGACGCGGAGAGAAAGACAGACACCUGCAGAUCAGCUUCACCACUUGUGAAGCGACUCCCCUGCAGGAGAUAACGUGCCUGGUAGAGUCUGUGCCCCAGAACCACGUGGAGUGCCACCACCAAGAAAGAAGCUCCAGGGAGCGGAGUGGUGCUGCUGUCCCUCUCCCUCUCCCUCUCUCUCUCCCUUUCUCUCCCUUUCCAUCUAAAAUAAAAGAAUGAAAAAAAAAAAAAAAGGAGUUGUGCCUGUGUGAAAUUCCAACAAAACUAAACAUUUGCUUGAUAAACAGCUGCACUUAUAUUUUUAUAAGAAUAUUACUACUAUUCUUUAACUGCUCUCUACAACAUUCCAUAACCAAAUACUUUGAUACUGACUUAGUGAUAAAACUCUUAUUUUUAAGGCUGCGGGAUAUGCUCAGAAUUAUUAAACAGGUGUAUUUGAUUUCUGGAUUUCUUUUUUAUGAAGUAAAAUGAGAAAAAUUAAAAAAAAACAAAAAUCCUACUCUCCCUUUAUAUCUCCCCCGCCACUCUCAGUUUCUCUGUGUCCUAUUUAAUAAAAAGAAAAAAAAAAACCUGGUUUGAGCCCCCGGCUCCCCACCUGCAGGGAAGUGUUUUCACAAGCUGUGAAGCAGGUCUGCAGGUGUCUCUCUUUCUCUCCCCCUCUCUGGCUUCCCCUCCUCUCUCCAUUUCUCUCUGUUCUACCUAACAACAAUGACAUCAGUAACAACAAUAAUAACUACAACAAUAAAACAACAAAGGCAACAAAAGGGAAUAAAUAAAUAUUUUUUAAAAAUAAGGAAAGAAAACCGUGGCCACCAGUGGAUUCAUAGUGUUACUUCAGGAUGGCCAAGUAGCACUGGGGCUGCUACCUGCCGUCUGCUUUCCUGUAGCGUGGCGGUGAGGUGACAAGAAUAAUCCUGCACAUCUUUUUUCAUCAUGAACCACUUAGGAUAAUUCAGUCACAAGAAAUUAAAGAGAAACUUUGGGUAACUAAACAUAGAGGAAAGUUACUUUCUCAUCUAAGUCAAGAGGUAAUUUAGGAGGCAGGGAGGCUUCCUCUUUGGUUAAUUCAGUGGCUUGCUGAUGUGCAGAGUCCAAAAUUCUCCCUGCGCCUUUCUUCUUGUCAUUCUCAGAAAAGUAGCUUUUCCUUUACCACCUGGUGAUCCCAAGUUGGGUGUGAUUAUUCAGGGUUGUUAAACUAGCAGUCCCUAGUUAAGGAGGGCUGGAUACAAUCUCUAGCUAGGGAAAUGCCAAAGACUCAGUCAUCAGAUUGGAUUAGAUUAACUAGGGUUUUUUCUGAGCCAAAUGGAGGGUGAAGUAAUAUCAGAAGCAGAUAAUCACUGUGCAAGCAAA